UAAUAAAAAUUUCAUCAAUUUCCACAGUUAAAAAUUGGCGUGGCUGACAAAAUAACCAGACAAUUACACACGGUGUGCUAUGUGUACCACAUGUUCAUGUAUAAAGACCAAUUUUUAACAGUAGAAAUGGAUGAAUUAUUUAACG
rfam:Gossypium hirsutum cultivar TM-1 chromosome 10, whole genome shotgun sequence